rnacentral:tRNA from 1 species
GCCCGCGUGGUGGAAUGGUAGACACCGGGAACUUAAAAUUCCCUGGCUUCGGCCGUGCCGGUUCGAGUCCGGCCGCGGGCA